UUUGUAGGAUGAUUGCCAGCAAACUUUUGACCUGCAUUUUCACAAGGUACUGGUAUGAGACAGGUAUAUCACACUCAAUAAAUGCUCCUAAUUUUUACUGUUUAAGUAAUCCAUGUCAAAGGUGUGAAUGUUGCAGGACUAAUGGUGAGUUUGUUCUUAUCCAUUCUCAAAUUUUUUAAAUGCUUUUAUAUUGAUUUAAACUAAUAGUGCUUCCCCUGAUUUUCAGAUUUAUCAUCAAUACUCAUUGACAUCAAGCCCAACUUACCAGCAAUUCUGAGUAGCUCUUCUAAUGAAUCAGAUAAAGUUAGGAAGUGGGAAAAAUAAAAUGUUUUGUAGAUGGAACAUACAAAAUUUCUGGUGCGGCUGGUCCAGUGUACGACAAGAUUUGUCAUAUUUCCAAUGAGGUUCUUUUUGGAUCCGGGUAUCUGUCUGCUAUGAGAUAGUUGAUGCAUCCAGCGCAGUGUACUGCAAACAGAGUUACCUGCAGUUGAAUUAAAAGGGAAAUCAUGGUUAAUUUUGAUGGAGCUGAUGUGAGUAAUUAUGAGCAGAAGAAAGGUGGAAAAAGACAAUAAAAAGGGAACUGACCCGUCGGAGACGCCAGAGUCGGAGCAUAUUGAGUGCCUUAAAACCAAAACCACUGUUGUGAUUUGUAAACAGAAGGCUUAAAGGUUGAAGUGGUGCUGUUGAACUGACAUCGAAAAUGAACCAGGUUG